GACGAACGCUGGCGGCGUGCCUAACACAUGCAAGUCGAACGGAGGUCAGUGCUUCGGUAUUGACCUUAGUGGCGAACGGGUGAGUAACGCGUGAGGAACCUGCCUUUCAGUGGGGGACAACAGUUGGAAACGGCUGCUAAUACCGCAUAAUGUUAUUUGGGGGCAUCCCUGGAUAACCAAAGAUUUAUUGCUGAAAGAUGGUCUCGCGUCUGAUUAGCUAGUUGGCGGGGUAACGGCCCACCAAGGCGACGAUCAGUAGCCGGUCUGAGAGGAUGAACGGCCACAUUGGGACUGAGAUACGGCCCAGACUCCUACGGGAGGCAGCAGUGGGGAAUAUUGGGCAAUGGGGGAAACCCUGACCCAGCAACGCCGCGUGAAGGAAGAAGGCCUUCGGGUUGUAAACUUCUUUACCAGGGACGAAGAACGUGACGGUACCUGG
rnacentral:rRNA from 1 species